UUAAGCAUAUCAAUAAGCGGAGGAAAAGAAACUAACAAGGAUUCCCCUAGUAACUGCGAGUGAAGCGGGAAGAGCUCAAAUUUAAAAUCUGGCGUGCCUCUGGUCGUCCGAAUUGUAGUCUGGAGAAGCGUUUUCCGUGUCGGACCGUGUAUAAGUCUCUUGGAACAGGGCGUCAUAGAGGGUGAGAAUCCCGUCUUUGACACGGACUACCGAUGCUUUGUGAUGCGCUCUCAAAGAGUCGAGUUGUUUGGGAAUGCAGCUCAAAAUGGGUGGUAAAUUCCAUCUAAAGCUAAAUAUAGGCGAGAGACCGAUAGCGAACAAGUACCGUGAGGGAAAGAUGAAAAGCACUUUGGAAAGAGAGUUAAACAGUACGUGAAAUUGCUGAAAGGGAAACGCUUGAAGUCAGUCGUGUCUGCCAGGACUCAGCCUCGCUUCUGCUUGGUGCACUUUCUGGUUGGAUGGGCCAAUGUCAAUUUUGACCGUUGGAGAAAGGCUUUGGGAAUGUGGCACUUUCGAGUGUGUUAUAGCCCUUUGUCGUAUACGACGGUUGGGAUUGAGGACUGCAGCACGCCUUUAUGGCCGGGGUUCGCCCACGUACGUGCUUAGG
rnacentral:rRNA from 1 species